rnacentral:rRNA from 1 species
AUGACUGGUCUCGCUGAUCCCUCCUUUCUGAAGAACUGUAAUGUCAUUAAUUUGGUGUUGCAGGGAAACAGGACUGUUACUUUGAAAAAAUUAGAGUGUUUAAAGCAGGCUAACGCUUGAAUACAUUAGCAUGGAAUAAUGAAAUAGGACGUUCAAACCUAUUUUGUUGGUUUCUAGGAUUGACGUAAUGAUUAAUAGGGAUAGUUGGGGGCAUUAGUAUUCAAUUGUCAGAGGUGAAAUUCUUGGAUUUAUUGAAGACUAACUACUGCGAAAGCAUUUGCCAAGGAUGCUUUCAUUAAUCAAGAACGAAAGUUAGGGGAUCGAAGACGAUCAGAUACCGUCGUAGUCUUAACCAUAAACUAUGCCGACUAGGGAUCGGAUGAUGUUAAUUUUUUAAUGACUCAUUCGGCGCCUUACG